rnacentral:rRNA from 1 species
UUUGAUGACAAUAGCGUAUAGGAACCACCUGAUCCAUUUCGAACUCAGCAGUGAAACUAUACAGCGCCGAUGGUAGUGUGGGGUCUCCCCAUGUGAGAGUAGGACAUCAUCAGCU